UGUGUGUGCGUGUGCUACAUUAGGUGAGUCUGAUAUUACAGAGGUGUGUGUGUGUGUGUGCUACAUUAGGUGAGUCUGAUAUUACAGAGGUGUGUGUGUGUGUGCUACAUUAGGUGAGUCUGAUAUUACAGAGGUGUGUGUGCUACAUUAGGUGAGU